CUCCAGACUCCUACGGGAGGCAGCAGUGGGGAAUAUUGCACAAUGGGGGAAACCCUGAUGCAGCGACGCCGCGUGAGCGAUGAAGUAUUUCGGUAUGUAAAGCUCUAUCAGCAGGGAAGAAGAUGACGGUACCUGACUAAGAAGCCCCGGCUAACUACGUGCCAGCAGCCGCGGUAAUACGUAGGGGGCAAGCGUUAUCCGGAUUUACUGGGUGUAAAGGGAGCGUAGACGGCGAUGCAAGCCAGAUGUGAAAGCCCGGGGCUCAACCCCGGGACUGCAUUUGGAACUGUGUGGCUGGAGUGUCGGAGAGGCAGGCGGAAUUCCUAGUGUAGCGGUGAAAUGCGUAGAUAUUAGGAGGAACACCAGUGGCGAAGGCGGCCUGCUGGACGAUGACUGACGUUGAGGCUCGAGAGCGUGGGGAGCAAACAGGAUUAGAUACCCGCGUAC
rnacentral:rRNA from 1 species